rnacentral:rRNA from 1 species
GCACGUAGUUAGCCGAGACUUAUUCCUGGGAUACUGUCCUUUCUCAUCUCCCAGAAAAGCACUUUACGACCCGAAGGCCUUCAUCGUGCACGCGGCGUUGCUGCAUCAGGCUUUCGCCCAUUGUGCAAUAUUCCCUACUGCUGCCACCCGUAGGUGUAUGGACCGUGUUUCAGUUCCAUUGUGGGGGGUCACCCUCUCAGGUCCCCUACCCGUCGUCGCCUUGGUGAGCCAUUACCUCACCAACUAGCUGAUGGGACGCAGGUCCCUCCCAAAGCGAAUUGCUCCUUUAGUCAUCAGUUUCUAAACCUGAGGACCACAUGCGGUAUUAGCAAUCCUUUCGGACUGUUAUCCCACACUUUGGGGUAGGUCACCAACGCGUUACUCACCCGUUCGCCACUAGGAUACUCUCGUAUUGCUACAAAAGCACCUCGUUCGACUUGCAUGUAUUAGGCACGCCGCCAGCGUUCAUC